CUCCUGACGCUCUCAGAGUCUGGCCUUCUGCUGGGCCCCGGGUCUCUCACUGGCAGAAUGGAGUUCUCGGAGCUGAUCCAUACGGGCUGAGCCCAAGCAGAGUUUCUACGGGGCCCGGAGGCGCCCCCGCUUCGCGGCACGGUGUUCUGCUACGCUCCAGCCAGCCCCUAACUGGUCCCCAGAAGCGGCGCUGCUACAGGGACCAGGAGCUGCUGCGAACUGCGCUGGCGGGGGCUCGUCCUUGGGCGCGGGGCUUCAUCAUGGACACGCUCUCGGCCCAGGCCGCGAAACAAGCCCGCGUGACUGGCGGAGGCACAGAGACCAAGGCCGCUUAACCUGGCUGGUUGCACUGGUCCCUGGAGAGAGGGCGUCCCCUGCAGGAGAGCUUCAUGCGCCUGGUGGAGGCCUGUGGGGACUCGGAGCAAAGCAUGGACAACUGGCUGAGUCGGCUGGACGGCUGCCGCUGACUGUAACAUGUAAAGCAGGCACUGAGCACCACCUGCCUGGCAGUCCAGGGCAUGGAGAGGCACAGACAGCACCCUGCUUGUGACUUCACUGGCCCAACUCAUCCUGGACCCCUUGAGCAAGACCAUGGCUGGAUUCCAGGAACUGGUGGAGUGGAAGUGGAUCCAGGAAAAUGCCGUGUGAAGGGAGGACUCAGAUGCACUCCCUGUGGUCUGGGCUCAACCAGCCAAAAGAGCAACAAAGACUCCAGAACCCACUCUACCUCCUCAAUCCCUUGGCCAUCUGUGGAGCCCCAGAGCCUGCGGCUGUGGCAAGGCCUGUUUCUGCGCUGGACCUGCUCACCUGAGCCUGCAGAAGCUGCAUGGGGGAAGAGUGUGGCAAAUAGUGACAGGAAGGGAGAAGACAGAAGCCUCUCAGCCAACUGCUUCAGCCGAGCCCCUAUUCUAAGCACUGGCUCCUUGGAUAGCAGCUGAGAUGUUCCUGAAACCUCUGCAGGCCCCUUAGGACCUUUACACCUUGGAUGAGGGUGCCUGCAACCCAGGUUAGCCAAAAGUACUGAGGGUCUUAAGUUUGAAGUGUCCAAAGUAUAGGGAGGUCUCAAUAAUAAAAGUCUCCAUGAUCAGC
rnacentral:lncRNA from 1 species